GACGAACCGUGCGAACGUUGCUCGGAAUCACUGGGCAUAAAGGGCGCGUAGGCGGCUUAUCAAGUCAGGGGUGAAAUCCGGCAGCUCAACUGUCGAAGUGCCUUUGAUACUGAUGAGCUAGAGGGAGAUAGGGGUAUGCGGAACUUCCGGUGGAGCGGUGAAAUGCGUUGAUAUCGGAAGGAACGCCGGUGGCGAAAGCGGCGUACUGGAUCUCUUCUGACGCUGAGG
rnacentral:rRNA from 1 species